CUGGCUCAGGAUGAACGCUAGCUACAGGCUUAACACAUGCAAGUCGAGGGGCAGCAUUGGGAUAGCUUGCUAUUCCAGAUGGCGACCGGCGCACGGGUGAGUAACGCGUAUCCAACCUUCCCUAUAGUAGAGAAUAGCCCGGCGAAAGUCGGAUUAAUGCUCUAUGUUGUGUUUUUGAGGACAUCUGACGAACACCAAAGGUUCACCGCUAUAGGAUGGGGAUGCGUCUGAUUAGCUUGUGGCGGGUAACGGCCCACCAAGGCGACGAUCAGUAGGGGUUCUGAGAGGAAGGUCCCCCACAUUGGUACUGAGACACGGACCAAACUCCUACGGGAGGCAGCAGUGAGGAAUAUUGGUCAAUGGGCGAGAGCCUGAACCAGCCAAGUAGCGUGCAAGGAUGACUGCCCUAUGGGUUGUAAACUGCUUUUAUCAGGGAAUAAAGUGCGGCACGUGUGCCGUUUUGUAUGUACCUGAUGAAUAAGGACCGGCUAAUUCCGUGCCAGCCGCCGC
rnacentral:rRNA from 1 species